rnacentral:rRNA from 1 species
UACGUAGGGUGCAAGCGUUGUCCGGAAUUAUUGGGCGUAAAGAGCUCGUAGGCGGUCUGUCGCGUCUGCUGUGAAAACUCAGGGCUUAACCCUGAGCUUGCAGUGGGUACGGGCAGGCUAGAGUUCGGUAGGGGAGACUGGAAUUCCUGGUGUAGCGGUGAAAUGCGCAGAUAUCAAGAGGAACACCGGUGGCGAAGGCGGGUCUCUGGGCCGAUACUGACGCUGAGGAGCGAAAGCGUGGGGAGCGAACAGG